rnacentral:rRNA from 1 species
UACAGAGGGUGCAAGCGUUGUUCGGAAUUAUUGGGCGUAAAGGGCGCGUAGGCGGUGCCACAAGUCACCUGUGAAAUCUCCGGGCUUAACUCGGAGCCUGCAGGCGAAACUGUGGUGCUGGAGUGUGGGAGAGGUGCGUGGAAUUCCCGGUGUAGUGGUGAAAUGCGUAGAUAUCGGGAGGAACACCUGUGGCGAAAGCGGCGCACUGGACCAUAACUGACGCUGGAUGCGCGAAAGCUAGGGGAGCAAACAGG